rnacentral:rRNA from 1 species
UACGUAGGGUGCAAGCGUUUGUCCGGAAUUAUUGGGCGUAAAGAGCUCGUAGGCGGUCUGUCGCGUCUGCUGUGAAAACUCGGGGCUUAACCCCGGGCCUGCAGUGGGUACGGGCAGACUAGAGUGCGGUAGGGGAGAUUGGAAUUCCUGGUGUAGCGGUGGAAUGCGCAGAUAUCAGGAGGAACACCAAUGGCGAAGGCAGAUCUCUGGGCCGUAACUGACGCUGAGGAGCGAAAGCAUGGGGAGCGAACAGG